AUUGAACGCUGGCGGCAGGCCUAACACAUGCAAGUCGAGCGGUAGAGAGGUGCUUGCACCUCUUGAGAGCGGCGGACGGGUGAGUAAUGCCUAGGAAUCUGCCUGGUAGUGGGGGAUAACGUCCGGAAACGGACGCUAAUACCGCAUACGUCCUACGGGAGAAAGCAGGGGACCUUCGGGCCUUGCGCUAUCAGAUGAGCCUAGGUCGGAUUAGCUAGUUGGUGAGGUAAUGGUUCACCAAGGCGACGAUCCGUAACUGGUCUGAGAGGAUGAUCAGUCACACGGGAACUGAGACACGGUCCAGACUCCUACGGGAGGCAGCAGUGGGGAAUAUUGGACAAUGGGCGAAAGCCUGAUCCAGCCAUGCCGCGUGUGUGAAGAAGGUCUUCGGAUUGUAAAGCACUUUAAGUUGGGAGGAAGGGUACUUACCUAAUACGUGAGUAUUUUGACGUUACCGACAGAAUAAGCACCGGCUAACUCUGUGCCAGCCGCCGCGGUAAUAC
rnacentral:rRNA from 1 species